rnacentral:rRNA from 1 species
CCUACGGGUGACAGCCGUGGGGGCUAUUGCACACUGGGGGAAACCCUGCUGCAGCGCCGCCGCGUGAGUGAAGAAGUAUUUCGGUGUGUACCGCUCUAUCAGCAGGGAAGAAAAAAGACGGUACCUGACUACGACGCCACGGCUAACUACGUGCCCGCAGCCGCGGUAAUACGUAGGGGGAAAGCGUUAUCCGGCUUUACUGGGUGUAAAGGGAGCGUAGCCGGCAAUGCAAGUCGGAAGUGAAAUACCCGGGCUCAACCUGGGAACUGCUUUGGAAACUGUAUGGCUGGAGUGCUGGAGAGGGAAGCGGAAGUCCGAGUGUAGCGGUGAAAUGCGUAGAUAUUAGGAGGAACACCAGUGGCGAAGGCGGCUUACUGGACAGUAACUGACGUUGAGGCUCGAAAGCGUGGGGAGCAAACAGGAUUAGAUACCCUUGUAGUC